CCCAGGCACUUGCGUCCACGCCUGUUCUCCAUUACGCGGCGGCGGCUGCCCAGGGCAGCUCCUCAUUCUCCGUGGGUCCAGUGGGAGCUGGGAUGGUGGGGAUGCCGGCUGAAGGUUCCCGUUGAGAGGUCGGCGCUGGCCACAGAUGCUCCCUGGCACCACAUCUGCGCCCCUCUCGGGGUCGGCUGAGCUCAGCCUGGCCUCUGCCCGCUGUGCUGCUCUCUACUUGGCCCGGGACCUCUUGCACCAGGGACCCGCCUGCCCCUCCUGGCCCUGUUCCUCACUGGGAUUCCUGGUUUUCCUGUCGAAAGGGCUGUGCUGUCGGCUCGGGGCCCGGAGCUGCGUGGGCACCGCAAGGGGAGGUGGCCAAAUCACUCCUCGUUUAAGCCCUUUGGGAAGGAGACAAGGC